rnacentral:rRNA from 1 species
GACGAACGCUGGCGGCGUGCUUAACACAUGCAAGUCGAACGGAAAGGCCCUGCUUUUGUGGGGUGCUCGAGGGGCGAACGGGUGAGUAACCCGGGGGUAACCUGCCCUUGACUUUGGGAUAACUUCAGGAAACUGGGGCUAAUACGGGAUAGGAGCUCCUGCUGCUGGGUGGGGGUUGGAAAGUUUCGGCGGUUGGGGAUGGACUCGCGGCUUAUCAGCUUGUUGGUGGGGUAGUGGCUUACCAAGGCUUUGACGGGUAGCCGGCCUGAGAGGGUGACCGGCCACAUUGGGACUGAGAUACGGCCCAGACUCCUACGGGAGGCAGCAGUGGGGAAUAUUGCACAAUGGGCGGAAGCCUGAUGCAGCAACGCCGCGUGCGGGAUGACGGCCUUCGGGUUGUAAACCGCUUUCGCCUGUGACGAAGCGUGAGUGACGGUAAUGGGUAAAGAAGCACCGGCUAACUACGU